GAUGAACGCUGGCGGCGUGCUUAACACAUGCAAGUCGAACGGAAAGGCCCAAGCUUGCUUGGGUACUCGAGUGGCGAACGGGUGAGUAACACGUGGGUGAUCUGCCCUGCACUUCGGGAUAAGCCUGGGAAACUGGGUCUAAUACCGGAUAGGACCACAUUUUGGAUGGUGUGGUGGAAAGUUUUUCGGUGGGGGAUGAGCUCGCGGCCUAUCAGCUUGUUGGUGGGGUAAUGGCCUACCAAGGCGUCGACGGGUAGCCGGCCUGAGAGGGUGUACGGCCACAUUGGGAGUGAGAUACGGCCCAGACUCCUACGGGAGGCAGCAGUGGGGAAUAUUGCACAAUGGGCGCGAGCCUGAUGCAGCGACGCCGCGUGGGGGAUGACGGCCUUCGGGUUGUAAACUCCUUUCGCUAGGGACGAGGCGUUUUUGUGACGGUACCUGGAGAAGAAGCACCGGCUAACUACGUG
rnacentral:rRNA from 1 species